AUAAAGAGCAAGUUCUCAGCAGAAACAAGUGCUUGGACACAGGGGAGAGGCGGGGGGGAAGGAGGAAGAAGGAUGUCUCUCUCUUCUCCCCUAUCCUGCCCCAGGCCAAAAUCAAUGAUGGAUGACAGUAUCAGAACUUCAAGAAGUGAAGGUAUUUCUGUGGAAAAAAAUCAGUUAGAGGAGUCAAAUUAUGCCAUCAAUCAUUUACAUCUAGAGUUUCUGAGUAUUCUCUGAAGCCUUUUCAGAGCUGGAAAUCAGUCCAAUCCCAGUAGUAGGGUAGGAUUUAAAAGGACGGAGGAGGUGUCCUGUUGAUUUCUUUGUUUCCUUCAAUGUCAACAAGUAAGAAAACUCCAAGACCUUCUUUCUUAGAGAUUUUCUGGAAGUUCGAGAAGAGAGUUCACAAUGAGUUGGCCUUGCCUGAUGUGAUUUGUGAUAAACGGUAAGCCUCAGCAGUGUUUAAUGGCAAUUGGACAAAGCACACUCGGAAGAAUAUGGGAUAACUUCAUACAGCACUAAGAAGUUGUCGACAUAAAAGCGCAGGGAAUGUUAGGUGUCUGAGCGAUGGCAGAGGAGAGGAGCAGAAAAACAGAGUUACUGAAGAUGAGGAAACUGAUGUACGAAGAUGUUAUACGACUUGCCAGAUAACAUCAUCCAACAGCUGUCCUGCCAGGGAUUGUAAUUCAGGAACCGAUCUCAAGCUGAGCAGAGGAAAAAAUGAGAUGCUUAAUGAAAAUGGCCAAAUGUCAUUACCAGCUAUUUCGUGAGAAGAGCGGGAUCAGUAUCCACCCCUGCGUAAAAUGGGCUUUCUCCGACUUCCAGCCAUCUGCAGGGUCGUGAAGACUCGCAACUCUUACGUCUCCUGAGGGAGUCGUUUCAGUUUUAUGCUUUGCUUUUCUGAUGCUGAGAAAUACAGACACUCGCGAUUUACUACUGGGCGCUUUCAGGGAUGGAGUCAACUAUUUUCUAAGAAACUCAAAGGCUGAAAUAGGAAAUGCUAGAAAAAUGUAUAUCAGAAAGCUUGAAAAGCAGAAAAAAACAAUAACUCUGGUUAAUAAAAUGUUAUAGAUUAAUGAGAGCCUGAAAAUCCUUUUGCUUCCAGUAUAUUUUUGAAAUUUCUAAACUGUAUUAGUUUUCUUUUUUGCCUUAGGAGUUACCAUAUAGUAAGUGUGUGAGAGAAUGUA
ensembl:lncRNA